UGGGGAAUUUUUCGCAAUGGGCGCAAGCCUGACGAAGCAACGCCGCGUGGAGGAUGAAGGUCUUCGGAUUGUAAACUCCUGUCGACCGGGACGAAUGCACUCGACCUAAUACGUCGAGUUGUUGACGGUACCGGUGGAGGAAGCCACGGCUAACUCUGUGCCAGCAGCCGCGGUAAUACAGAGGUGGCAAGCGUUGUUCGGAAUUACUGGGCGUAAAGGGCGCGUAGGCGGCCUUGUAAGUCUCGUGUGAAAGCCCUCGGCUUAACUGAGGAUCUGCACGGGAUACUGCGAGGCUAGAGUUCGGGAGAGGAAAGCGGAAUUCCGGGUGUAGCGGUGAAAUGCGUAGAUAUCCGGAGGAACACCAGGGGCGAAGGCGGCUUUCUGGACCGACACUGACGCUGAGGCGCGAAAGCUAGGGGAGCAAACGGGAUUAGAUACCCCCGUAGUCCCUGAGCGGGCUGGCAAGGCGCAU
rnacentral:rRNA from 1 species